GAGUUUGAUCCUGGCUCAGAUUGAACGCUGGCGGCAUGCCUUACACAUGCAAGUCGAACGGCAGCACGGGAGCUUGCUCCUGGUGGCGAGUGGCGAACGGGUGAGUAAUGCAUCGGAACGUAUCCUGGAGUGGGGGAUAACGUAGCGAAAGUUACGCUAAUACCGCAUAUUCUGUGAGCAGGAAAGCGGGGGACCUUCGGGCCUCGCGCUCUUGGAGCGGCCGAUGUCGGAUUAGCUAGUUGGUGAGGUAAAGGCUCACCAAGGCGACGAUCCGUAGCAGGUCUGAGAGGAUGAUCUGCCACACUGGAACUGAGACACGGUCCAGACUCCUACGGGAGCAGCAGUGGGAAUUUGGACAAUGGGGGCAACCCUGAUCCAGCCAUGCCGCGUGAGUGAAGAAGGCCUGG
rnacentral:rRNA from 1 species